GGGAUGUAGCUCAGCGUUAGAGCACUUGCCUAGCAGGCAUGAAGUCUUGGGUUCAAUUCCCAACUCACA
rnacentral:tRNA from 1 species